rnacentral:rRNA from 1 species
CCCCUAGAUGUUCUGGGCCGCACGCGCGCUACACUGAACAGUUCAACAAGUCUUAACCUUGGCCGAUAGGUCUGGGUAAUCUUUGAACGCUGUUCGUGAUUGGGAUAGACCUUUGCAAUUAUUAAUCUUCAACGAGGAAUGCCUAGUAAGCGCAAGUCAUCAGCUUGCGUUGAUUACGUCCCUGCCCUUUGUACACACCGCCCGUCGCUCCUACCGAUUGAAUGGUCCGGUGAAGCGUUCGGACCGUGGCCUUUGGACGGUUCGCCGUCUGUUGGCUGCGGGAAGUUCGUUAAACCUUAUCAUUUAGAGGAAGGAGAANUCGUANCA